rnacentral:rRNA from 1 species
CUGGGUGUAAGGGCGUGUAGGCGGGACUGCAAGUCAGAUGUGAAAGCCCAGGGCUUAACCCUGGAGUUGCAUCUGAAACUGUGGUUCUUGAGUGCUGGAGAGGGAAGCGGAAUUCCUAGUGUAGCGGUGAAAUGCGUAGAUAUUAGGAGGAACACCAGUGGCGAAGGCGGCUUUCUGGACAGUAACUGACGCUGAGGCGCGAAAGCGUGGGGAGCAAACAGGAUUAGAUACCCUGGUAGUCCACGCCGUAAACGAUGGAUACUAGGUGUAGGAGGUAUCGACA